UGCGUAGGCGGUAUGCUAAGUCAAUCGUUAAAUUCUCCGGCCUAACCGGAGGCAAGCGGUAGAUACUGGCGUACUUGAGGGUGGAAGAGAGAAGUGGAAUUCUCGGAGUAGCGGUAAAAUGCGUAGAUCUCGAGAGGAACACCAAUGGCGAAGGCAGCUUCUUGGUCCACAUCUGACGCUGAGGCACGAAAGCGUGGGGAGCAAACA
rnacentral:rRNA from 1 species